rnacentral:rRNA from 1 species
GUGGGGAAUUUUGGACAAUGGGCGAAAGCCUGAUCCAGCAAUGCCGCGUGCAGGAUGAAGGCCCUCGGGUUGUAAACUGCUUUUGUACGGAACGAAAAGCUCUGGGCUAAUACCCUGGAGUCAUGACGGUACCGUAAGAAUAAGCACCGGCUAACUACGUGCCAGCAGCCGCGGUAAUACGUAGGGUGCAAGCGUUAAUCGGAAUUACUGGGCGUAAAGCGUGCGCAGGCGGUUUUGUAAGACAGUGGUGAAAUCCCCGGGCUCAACCUGGGAACUGCCAUUGUGACUGCAAAGCUAGAGUGCGGCAGAGGGGGAUGGAAUUCCGCGUGUAGCAGUGAAAUGCGUAGAUAUGCGGAGGAACACCGAUGGCGAAGGCAAUCCCCUGGGCCUGCACUGACGCUCAUGCACGAAAGCGUGGGGAGCAAACAGGAUUAGAAACCCCAGUAGUCC